UGAGGCAGGAGAAUUGCUUGAACCCAGGAGGUGGAGGUUGCAGUGAGCCGAGAUCGGGCCGCUGCACUCCAGCCUGGGUGACAAAGCAAGACUCCAUCUCA
rnacentral:miRNA from 1 species